rnacentral:rRNA from 1 species
AUGUAUCAGAUGAGAAAGUUGUGGUGUGCUCCAUAUCUUGACGGUCGUUGUUUCCUAGGAUUGAGCAGCAAUCAGAGGAGUGAGAGCUUGAACUCUGUGCUACAUACGCAUCUUGAGGGUAAGAUGUCGUUGUUUGAAAUGCUAGAGCACUAUGAGCGUUGCCUUGCGUCGCGACGGAUUAACGAAGCUCUCCAAGACGUCGAAGCCUUGCAGUCCGUUCCAUUUACAGAGGAAAAUGCUUCGCCGCUUGAGAAACACGCCGCAACAGUUUUCACACCUAGUGUCUUUAAGAUGGUCUUAUGGAGCAUAGAUGCUGUCAGCAAAUGUCAGAUGAGAGAGAUACUAGAUGGAUCAGAAGAUUCCACUUAUGUUGUGUCCAAGCAGGAAAGAAUGGAUAAAAAGUUUGGAGUGCGCAUUGAAGAGCAAGGAGGUCUUUUGCACAGGGUGAGUUGUUCUUGCCGGAAUGCGCAGGCAUACCAUGUUCCCACAUUUUUUACAUAUUGGCGAUUUUAA